UACAGAGGUGGCGAACGUUGUUCGGAUUUACUGGGCGUAAAGGGUCCGCAGGCGGUUCGGUGUGUCGGAUGUGAAAGCUCACAGCUCAACUGUGGAAUUGCAUUCGAAACUGCCGAACUAGAGUACUGGAGGGGAGAAGGGAACACUUGGUGUAGCGGUGAAAUGCGUAGAUAUCAAGUGGAACACCGGAGGCGAAGGCGCUUCUCUGGACAGAUACUGACGCUCAUGGACGAAAGCUAGGGUAGCGAAAGGG
rnacentral:rRNA from 1 species